AUACGGAGGGUGCAAGCGUUAAUCGGAAUUACUGGGCGUAAAGCGCGCGUAGGCGGAUAUUUAAGUCUCAUGUGAAAGCCCUGGGCUCAACCUGGGAACUGCAUGGGAUACUGGGUAUCUAGAAUACAGUAGAGGGUAGUGGAAUUUCAGGUGUAGCGGUGAAAUGCGUAGAGAUCUGAAGGAACAUCAGUGGCGAAGGCGACUACCUGGACUGAUAUUGACGCUGAGGUGCGAAAGCGUGGGGAGCAAACGGGAUUAGAAACCCCUGUAGUCC
rnacentral:rRNA from 1 species